UACGGAGGGUGCAAGCGUUAUCCGGAUUCACUGGGUUUAAAGGGUGCGUAGGUGGGUUGGUAAGUCAGUGGUGAAAUCUCCGAGCUUAACUUGGAAACUGCCAUUGAUACUAUCAGUCUUGAAUAUUGUGGAGGUCAGCGGAAUAUGUCAUGUAGCGGUGAAAUGCUUAGAUAUGACAUAGAACACCAAUUGCGAAGGCAGCUCACUACACAAUCAUUGACGCUGAGGCACGAAAGCGUGGGGAUCAAACAGG
rnacentral:rRNA from 1 species